rnacentral:lncRNA from 1 species
ACGAGUUCCUUCCGAGUUCCGAGUUCCUUCCGAGUUCCGACCUUCCGAUUUCUUUCCGAGUUCCAAGUUCCGAGUUCCUUCCGUCUUUCCGACUUCCUUCCUUCUGAGGUCGUUCCUUCUUUCCUUCCUUCAUUCCUUCCUUCCGAGUUCCAAGUUCUGAGUUCUGAAUUCCGAGUUCCUUUCGAGUUCCUUGCUUCCUUUCUUCCUUCUGAGUUCCUUCAUUCUGAGUUACGAGUUCCAAGUUCCGAGUUCCGAGUUCCUUCCGAGUUCCUUCCUUCCGAGUUCCUUCCUUCCUUCCGAGUUCCUUCUGAGUUCCAAGUUCCGAGUUCCUUCCUUCCUUUCGACUUCCUUCCUUCUGAGUUCCGAGUUCUGAAUUCUGAGUUCCUUCUGAGUUCCUUCCUUCGAGUUCCUUCCUUCCUUCCGAGUUCCUUCCGAGUUCCUUCCGAGUUCCUUCCUUCCGAAUUCUGAGUUCCUUCCUUCCGAGUUCCUUCCUUCCGAGUUCCUUCCUUCCGAGUUCCUUCCUUUCGAGUUCUGAGUUCCUUCCUUCCGAGUUCCUUCUGAGUUCUUUCCUUUCUUUCCUUUUUUCUUUCCUUUCGAGUUCCUUCCUUCCUUCCUUGUUCCUUUCUUCCGAGUUCCUUCCUUCCGAGUUCCUUCCGAGUUCCUUCCUUCCUUUCCUUUCCUUUCCUUUCUUUCUUUCCUUCCUUUUUUGGGUGCCCCAAGGUGACACAGGGGACAUUGGGGUGACCUUGGUGUCCCCGAAAGAGGGAUAUUGGUGUUUCCUUAAGGUGACACAGGGGACAUCCUGGUGUCCCCAGGACCCUCCCAGUGUCCCCGAGGUGGGAACAGGAACAUCCUGGUGUCCCCAGGACCCUCCCAGUGUCCCCAAGGUGGGAACAGGGACAUCCUGGUGUCCCCAGGGUGGCCCAGAGCACACCGGGGUGUCCCCAAAGUGAUCCCGAGUUUCUGAUCGUGUGUAUAUUUAUUUUGGGAUGUUUUUUUGACUUUUUUUUCCCUUUCCCCUCCCCUUUCCCUUUUCCUUUUGGAAUUGUACCUAUAUUUCACUCCUGUAGAACUGCAAUAUAAGUGUAAAUAUAUUUAUAUAUAUUGCUUUAACUGCCUCUCUCUCUUGUUUCGGUUCUCUUGUUGUUUUUUUUCUUUUCCCUUGGUCUUAGAAGACCAUCUUUGCUGUUUUAAAGACCAUCUUUGCUGUUUUAAAGACCAUCUUUGCUGUUUCAGACCAUCUUUGCUGUUUCAGACCAUCUUUGCUGUUUCAGACCAUCUUUGCUGUUUCAAACCAUGUCCACGCUGUAGGAAAUGGGUUUGGACCAGGGCAAAAGCCAGAGGGUGGAAAAACCCAGGAUUGGACAAAGAGUGUUUAUAUAAAUUGUGCUACCUGAAGCAGAGGGUUGUGGGUGGUUUGUAGCUUCCGUGCCUUGGAGGCGCCAUUAAAUCCUUUAAUUUAAUUUAAAUUUAAUUUAAUUUAUGAAUUUAAUUUAUUUUAUUUUUAAUUUAAUUUAAAUUUAAUUUAUUUUAA